ensembl:rRNA 5S_rRNA 5S ribosomal RNA
GUCUACAGCCUUAUCCCUCUAAACACAUCCAAUCUCAUCUGAUCUCUUAAACUACAAACGGUCAGGCCUGGCUUAGUAGCUGGAUAGGAGACUACCUGCGGCAUCUGGGUGCUGUGGAUU